rnacentral:rRNA from 1 species
UACGUAGGGGGGCAAGCGUUGUCCGGAAUCAUUGGGCGUAAAGAGCGCGUAGGCGGCCCUGUAAGUCCGCUGUGAAAGUCAAGGGCUCAACCCUUGGAUGCCGGUGGAUACUGCAGGGCUAGAGUCCGGAAGAGGCGAGUGGAAUUCCUGGUGUAGCGGUGAAAUGCGCAGAUAUCAGGAGGAACACCGAUGGCGAAGGCAGCUCGCUGGGCAAUAACUGACGCUGAGGAGCGAAAGCGUGGGGAGCGAACAGG